GAUGAACGCUGGCGGCGUGCCUAAUACAUGCAAGUCGAGCGAACAGACGAGGAGUUUGCUCCUCUGACGUUAGCGGCGGACGGGUGAGUAACACGUGGAUAACCUACCUAUAAGACUGGGAUAACUUCGGGAAACCGGAGCUAAUACCGGAUAAUAUAUUGAACCGCAUGGUUCAAUAGUGAAAGACGGUUUUGCUGUCACUUAUAGAUGGAUCCGCGCCGCAUUAGCUAGUUGGUAAGGUAACGGCUUACCAAGGCAACGAUGCGUAGCCGACCUGAGAGGGUGAUCGGCCACACUGGAACUGAGACACGGUCCAGACUCCUACGGGAGGCAGCAGUAGGGAAUCUUCCGCAAUGGGCGAAAGCCUGACGGAGCAACGCCGCGUGAGUGAUGAAGGUCUUCGGAUCGUAAAACUCUGUUAUUAGGGAAGAACAAAUGUGUAAGUAACUAUGCACGUCUUGACGGUACCUAAUCAGAAGGCCACGGCUAACUACGUG
rnacentral:rRNA from 1 species